AGCAAACUUAGGAGACUCAUAUUUAGCAGGCAUCAAAGAACCAAUACGAUGCUAUACUAAACCAUUGAUCUUGAACACAUAAGGGCCAGCGCCGUCAUUAAUUCCAUCAUCGAUAUUAACACCCAUAGAAGUAAAAGAAAACAAGGAAUUGUAUUGCCUAAUUCUAUUCAAGAAAUCCUUGCUCCGAGAAUCUCCAUCAAAAUGCUACAAAGAAGCCAAAAACUCUAGCACUGCUCGAAAAGACGGCAAAAACACCUUGCCACCUCUGCAACAUAGAUUGUAGAUCACACGACGUUGUGUCGAAUCAUGCUUACUACGUUCUCCAUACCAAAACAUAGCACCACAAAAUGCACAUUCAUAAUCAACAAUACCGUAGUAUGACCGAUCAGGAUAAGAUACUGCUUCGUUCGUAACAAAGUUCCAAAAAAAAGGUAUAGUUAAUAUAACAUGCAAAUUAAAACAAAAGAGUACUAUACAUAUAUACUUUGAUUACCUUUCAAAAUUUAAUAUAGUCUGGAACAAAAUGGUCCCAAGAAACCAAGGGUAUAUUUCGCAACAAACCUAUUUGCAAACCAAUGUGAACAAAUUAGUUUAUAGAAUAAACAAAAAAUAGUAAAAAAUAGAAGAAAGAAACUCAGGGACUACUAUUACAACACCUGCUCUUCCAAGAUUACACAAACGCCGAUCCUUCAUCUGAAACCACCUCCGCUUACGAGCAUACUCACGAGACACAAUAGGAAACAUACGUCUCCCUUAACCAAACAAAGCAGAACAAUAAUCAACGCUGGGAACAUAUAUUUGACUUAUAAAAAACAACAAAUAAAGAGAGUACUCCAUGUACUUACAUCGCCUACCGAUGACACCCAAUUCUCCCAUCAUUUGAUUCACCGGAUCCGACCCAGAUGCUUCGGCAUGCAUACAUACAAUCACAAAUGAAUAUAAUGUGAUUAACAUGAGAAAAUAAAUGAAUCAAACAUAAAUGCACAUGCUAAACUAAAGCAAAAACUAAUAAGAAAUUCUGACGAAUGGAAC
rnacentral:lncRNA from 1 species